GUAGAGGCCCUUUAAAAAACAGUCGAAGAGGAAGAAGAAGAAGAAGAAGAAGAAUGCACGAGCGCACACGUUCCCCAGAUGCGGGCAUUGGUUGCUGCGAAAAAAAGACUAAUAAAUUUCUAAAUUUAAAUGUACACAGAAAAACAAAUUAUUUUUAUUCAAUUGAAACAAAGGAAUUUUUAUAUUUCUUAAACUUGGGAAAUAAAAAUUGUCCUGUAUGGUUUGUAAUGGGAAAAAUUAAUUAUAUAAAUUUUUUAGAACUCAUUUCUUAUGCUUUUCCCAAUCGACCGUUUUUCUUUCAUCUCAUAGAGGAAUAAUUAGCUGAAUGGGGAAUAAGAGAGAGAGAGACUAUUUUUUUUUUAAUUGUAAAGGGGGUUUAAGAAGAAUAAUUACUGUAAUUAGGAACUGAGUCUUGCAUAUAUAAUUUGCAGACAAAACGAAAAGUGUAAUUUUAAGUUUCGAGUAUAGUAGGUACGGAAAAAGAUAAUACCAAAUAAAAAUUUGAAUGUAACUUUUAAAAAACACUAUCAAAAUUAAUUAUUAAUAAAAUGCGAAUAAAACAAAAGAAUUUAUUUGAAUUUUUUUAAGAUAGAAAAAUUUUCUUUUUCUCUUAAUUAGCUUUCGACCUUAAGCGGUUAGAAAAUGCAAUUCAUUUUAAACACAAAAGAUCUCGGGAAAUAGGAAUUUAUUUUGUGACUACCUACCUAACAGGUGCAGGGGAAAGAUGGAAGAAUAAAUAUAAUCGUGACGGUUGGUUGGGAUCGACACCUGUUUGGGAUGCAUGUACCUGCCACGCGACUUGAAUGCAUAAUAUUUGGCUAUUUAAAGAAAAAGAAAAAAAAAAGAAAAGAAAAGAAUUGUAUAAUCUUUGAGACAGCAAAAGGACGAUGACACGAACUUAUAUAUGAAUACUGAUAUCAUGGAAUACGUAAUUCUGUUAUUAAAUAAUCAAUAUUCACGUAUAACCAAAGUAACUUCCAUUUAUCGACUUUGAGAGUUUAUUUCUCUACACAUUUUCCGAUAUUUGUUAAUAUUGCAAUUCGAGUAGCAUUGAAUAUAAUUUGAAAUUUUCCACAUUAUAUUACGAAAUUUUAUUUUAAUUAUUUUCAUAUAUAUUUUCAAUUGUGAUGAUUAAAUAAAAUUAGUUUUUUUUUUGGACUUAUGUAACUUUUAUGAAAAGUAAAUUUGAUUUGUAUUCGAUUUUCACCGAACAGCAAAAGUCUCAGGGGGAUUCUCCUCAUUUUUCAAUAGAUAUUCUGUAAACUUUUAUUGAAUCAUUAUUUAAGAAAAUAGUUGAACAUACUUGUAGACAUAGAAGAAUAUUUGCGAAUUUUCCUUUAAAAUAUUUUAAUAAAUUGUGAAAUUAAAAUAUUUAAAAGUUAAUAUUUACGGGAUCGAUAAAUAGUGAAUAUAAAACUAAAUAUUGACUAAAUGAAUUUACAAAUAUAUAAAUUGUUCUGCAGUUCAUGUGCUAUUUAUUAUUUUAUCAAUAGUUCAUUAUUAUGCUUUCCGAUAUCGAACAAAAAGCUAUAGUCGACUAGCAGAACUUUAACAUUCAAAAGUGAAUAUUUUACGACGUUUGUAUCGAUUUCAGCCAUGAAUUGUGAAAAACUGUAUCCACAGACUUUAAAUAUUCUUCAUAUAACUUUUAAAAUUAAUUUAACUCUACAUUUCGUAGUCUUUUUAUGUAAAAAAAAAAAAAAUUUCCCUUCAAUUAAUUUUCUAUUUUUCAAUCAUUAAUUUUUAUGUUAGGUAUUAAAAAAAUGAAUAUAUAGAUGAUACUUACAUAAUUUGUUGAUUUUUGUCUGAAAUCUGUAAGAAUUAUAAACAAAAAACGGAUAGAAAUAAAAAACUAAAACGGCCUUACCAAAUCGCCAUAACCUCAA